UUCAUCAUUAAGUUUUCCUAUAUCAAGGUAAACACAUAUCAGACGGACCCCUCCCAUCCCCGCCACGGUCACUCAUCCAAACGUGAUCAAUGACUGAUCAAAAGUAGCUUGAAUAGUAUGACAGGAACAAGAAUUUUACAGAAGAUGUCAUCAUUCCGGAGCCCUUAAAAGUUAUCUUGCCUACGACGGGCUUUGAAUAACUUAAGACUUCAUCGCCAAACUUAACACAUGACCAGGUUGAGAAUUACUGAGAAUGGCAGAAGACAAACAGAUGUCAUCAGACAUUAAAGCAAUGGAAAAGGGCAAAGACCUUCUGUCAGGAGGAAGAAUAUUUGCUUGUAGCAUACUGUCAGAAGAUACACAUAUUUAUUUAUCUGGAAUAAUUGGUGCAGCAAUGAAACAAAAGGUUUUGAUAUGUUACAUAAUAUUUUUAUGCUAUAUGCUAAUAGUCAUGCUACAAUGACCACCCCACCCUCCAAAAAACUUUAGUAUUGAUAUUAAUUAUAGUGUUUUAUUUUGGUAAUUUUACAGUUAUAUAUCUUUAUGCCAUUUAAUUUCAUUUAAGGUAACUCCAUACUCGCAGUUUUAUCUGAUACAAGUUUAAAAUGUGUAUUUAUUUCCAUUCAUUAGAGUUAAAACUAACAAAUUAUCAAAUAAAAUACAUAGGUCAUCACACUUUUUAAGAUGUGAGACAUACAUAAACAGAAUCAUAUAUCACUGUCAGAAAACUGCAAUUUUCCUUAAACAGCGUUAUUAAAAUUCCAUACAAACUGGUUAGGACGAUAUAAUAGCAUUCAUAACAAUUUCAUGAAACUGUAUCUUCACAAAAAUAUACAAAAUGUCUGUAAAAAAUACAGGAAAUCAUCGCAUAAUAGACUUGAUAAAGAAAUCAAUAGAAACUGAGUUAUUGCCCAUGGAUUCAUAUUUUGAAACGUAUCAUUGAUUAUUCAUCUAUAACUUAGACUUUUGAAAUAUUUUGUUUUUGACAAGAUUUUUUACAAUAACUAUAGGAAAAGACUCCAACAAAAUUUAUGUUCCUAUCAUACAUAAAUCUAAAUAAAUCAUUGAUUUCGCAAAAUCUGAUGACAUCACAGGAGGGUGGAAUUACUUUAAUUGUGUUUUGUUUUAUUCCUCUUCUUAACCUUGUAAAGCGCCUUAGAGCAAGUUUUAUAUAAGGCGCAAUAUACAUUUAAUUAUUAUCAUAAUUGACUGUUCACCAUAAGCUUAAUUUGCAGUCCAGCAAUACAUAUUCAUGUAAUUUAACUUUUAUCAGGUAUCCUACAAUUUUAAAAUUGGACUGGAUAAAGCUAAUGGAGAUCCUCUGAAUUCCCAUUGUGAGUGUCCUGCAGGCAAGGAACCUCAUGACACAUGUAAGCAUGUUGCUGCAGUUUUACUGAUGAUUGAGGAGUUUAUUGAAAAGGGCAUGCUAGCCAUCAGAAAAGGGUGUACAGACAACCUUCAGAGCUUCCAUGUGCCAAAGAAAAUGUAUGAAGGUGUGUAUUAUAUGUACAAUCAAUAGAAGUGAUGCACAACCAUGCAUAUUAUUUUUAUGCUCUGUCAUAAAUACAAGUGUAGCAUUUCAUUUUUUUCAAAAAAUGGAAAAAUUUAACUUAUAAGACAGAAUAUAUAGGACAAUGAGAAUGUACCAAUAAAUCCCUGGUUGUCUUUUUUUUCCUAUUGCAUUACAAAUAUCACAUUGGGUGUGGCAUUCAUGUCCUAUGGACAUAUUUCAAGCUAACUCUCCUCACCCAGCAAUUUCAAGGAGGGUGACUAAUCACCAUUGCAACAAUAUUCAAUGAAUUAAUUGUUCCAUUUUUCAAGACAAAAAAAAUUAUUGACGUAAACCAUUAGCUGCUGAGAAAAUCCCAUGGAAGAGAAAGAACACUGAUGAAAUGCUAAAGGAUCCAAGAAAGGAAAAAUAUUUAAAAUAUUCUUCAGGAUAUUCCAGUUAUGUGUACAACUGCAUGGUGAACAACUGUUCCAUGUCUUCUAUGGAUAUUACAAUGAGAUACUCAACUCCUUUCACUAGUUCUUCAGGUAGUCUCAAAGGCACUAUUUACAUGUAACAAAAAUCAAAUGUAUUGAUAUCAGACGUGGAGUAAUGGUAAUGUAAUGGCAGCCAAUUUCAGUGUAAUGGACCAUUUUGCAUUACAAGUAAUGGUAAUGUACUGCAUUACUUGUGGCAAAUAUACUGUAAUGCACAUAACAUUUGCAUUUCUUCAAAUAUUUGAUAUUUUGGAGGUUUAGAUUAGGCCAAAAAAAUAAAAAUGUUGGUUUCCACUUUCACUUCAAAAUCUUUAAGGGUAGAUGGGUAGUGCUUUUUUUUUAUAGGUUGAAUUAUUUUUUAAUGAUUUAGUAUUCUACUAGGCAUAAAAUAUAGUGAUUAUCUAGUAAGCAAAUACAACUUAUAUGAUGAAUCAAAACAUUUCUUCCACUUUACAGUAAACAAACCCGUUUCUGUGUUUUGGAAUCUGUCUAGUAUUAGUGCAUAAUAAAUAACUUACUAAGUCAAGAAAUGAUGACAUUUGCAAAUUCUGUGAGAAUGGCAAAAUGUGUUAUGGUAGGCAGAAAUUUUUAUGGUUGGUCUGGAAAGUGGAAACCAACAUACAUUUUGUUUUGGCCUUACUUCAUUAUAUCAGUGAUUGACUUUUAGACCUUAUGAACAAAAAGAUCAACUUCAUACAUGUAAAUUGUCUGUAAGAGUUAUAACAGUAUUUAAUGAACAGCAUUUUAGAUCUAAUACCCAAGGUAUAGUAAGUCAACACUUGAAAUAUUUAUUUGUAAGGUUACUGUUGUCAACUGUUUACAGAAAUUGUUCUUUCUGUCUAAGUGAAGUUUCCUUUCUUGAAUUAAAAAUUGUUCUCUGUAAGAUGAAACUUUUGAAACAUUGAUGAUAAUCAAAUGCAUUGGAUAACUUGGGUGGAUUUCCUAACAUUAAUGAAUAUUUUGGGUGCUUAUGUUACUGUGUAUUUAAAAUUUAUAAAUCAUUAUAAAGAAGUAAUUUUGUUUUGUCAUUUCUUUAAUAUCAGUAUGUUAGGUAAUGUAUAAUGUAAUGCACUAUCAAGUAAUGUGUAUUGUAAUGCAUUCCAUUUCAAAAUAGGGGUAAUGGUAAUGUCAAUUUUUUAAAGUAAUGGUAAUGCAUCGACAGGGGAUGCUUACUCCUCCUAGGCACCUGAUCCCACCUCUGGUGUGUCCAGGGGUCCGUGUUUGCCCAACUAUCUAUUUUGUAUUGCUUGUAUGAGUUAUGAGAUUGAUCACUGUUGGUUAUUUCACCUUUCAUAAGCCUUUACAUUGCAUUAUCUGCAAUUGACCCCAGGCCUGAUUGGUAUAUUUAAGUGUAUUUAUGAAAACUAAAAGCCUAAUUGUAAUAACACUUAUAACAACACAAUUGUAUGCACAUUGUAGAUUGCUAGCAGAGAUCAUGGUUACCUGCAGCUACCCUUUACAGAGCAUCUUGUUGACAAAGCUGUUGCUGUAAGUUGACCUAAACAUGACCAUACAUGGUACUCUACCUCUACUGUAAUUGUCAGUGAUGUUUAUCAAUGUGAUGAAAAUUGUAUCAUCUAAAACUGCAUUAAACAUGUGUAUCCUGAUGCUAGUAUCCAUUAGCACAUGCAUCAAAUAAUCUUCUGUCCAAUGAUUAUACAAAUCCUUUUAAUAUUUUAAACUUAUUUGAUAAUCGCUAUUUGCUAUCUCUCAGUACAUUUUGUAGGUUUCAACAAAAAAUGUCAAUGACAUUGAAGAAUCAACAAGGAUGCAAGCGAAGAGUAAGACCUGGUUCGAGCAACGGAAAUGGAGAACAACACCUUCACGCUUUGGUGACAUAUCAAAAAUGACUUGCCGCAGGAACACUCAAAAACUUUGUUCUAGCAUUUUUCAGCCAAAAGCAAUUGCAACUUAUCCCAUCAUUUAUGGUAGGCAAUAUGAAAACAAAGCAAUUUCCAAUUCGAGGAAUUAACUCAUUUUAAAGUCAGUGUGGGUUAUUUGUGUCUGAAAAGUACCCUUUUCUUGUAGCUACACCCGAUGGGUUGGUUGGGAACGAUGCUAUACUUGAGGUGAAGUGUCCAUAUGGCGGUAGAGAUGUUACUAUUACACCCGGGAAAAAGUUUCCAUUUCUUGAAGAAUCAAGAGGCAAAAUUAAUUUAAAAUCCACUCAUAAAUACUAUGACCAAAUUCAAGGCCAACUGUUUAUUUCAGAGAGAAAGAUCUGCUACUUUGUUGUUUACACCUUUUGUGAUAUCUUGAUCAUGAAAAUUGCAAAUAAUGAUGAAUAUUGCAGGUUUAGUUUAUUGCCAAAAUUGGAAAUGUUCUACAAGAGGCACUUCAGACCAUAUGUUGCUUUUUGUAUGCAAUAGGUUUCCAAUUUGUUUACAUAGACACAGACACAUCAGUACGAAUACUUUCAGGCGCAUUAAUUUUUCAACAGAAAGAUUAUACUAGAGAUAUGGAUUCGAUAUAAUUAACAUGUUCCGUUCAUUGACACCUGAUGUACAUAUUUUGUCGAGUGUGAAAGGAUUACAAUUUAAUAAUUACAUGCAUUAGUUGUACAUGUAAUAUUUCUAGCAUAUAGAACACACAUUGUAUUAUCCUGCUGCUGAAUAUAUAUUAGAAUUUAACUUAGGAAAAUAAAAAAAACAUACUUAGCAAUGUUGUGAUAAAUGUACAAGUGAUCCUGAUUAUAAAAUAUUAUGUUUUCUUUUUGUGGAAUGAAUUUACAUGCAACACAAAAUAUGAAACUAGUAUAUUGCAUGACAAGUGUUGAACAUACUAUUAUAUCAAAAUACUUUUGUAUGCGAGAAGAUACUGUAAUAUAGAAUGACAAACUACACAACUAGAAUUGUUAUCUUUAUUACACUUUGAAUGACUUUUUGUUGUCGAAUCCUCAGCAAGUUGUAAAAUAAAAACCAGAAAUAGACUAGCAUUGAAUUUAAUAGUAUUUACAUUAUAGAAAUGGGCUUCCUAAAAUGAAUUUGUAAAUCUGUAAGAGGAAUAAGUGCAUAUUGUGAGACAACAUAGCUGAAGAUUAGGCAACUUAAGCAUAACCAUCUACUAUGGCCUUUCUAAAGUUUGAUAAAGAAAAGCAAACAAACACAAUUCUUGAUCCUAGAACACAUUUGCUGGAUGGUAGUGGGUGACCGAGUAUUUUGUAUGUCUUGGAAAGGCCAAUUACUCUCUCUAUAUGUAUUCUUUUGGAAGCAAUUCUCCGGUCUCUAACAACAUCUUUUGACUCAAGUUGCGACUUACCUUUGAGCAUGGUAGGAGUAUUUACAAAUACAUCCAUGGGUGCAAAUAAGUCUUGCACCAUAAUGCCUCGGUCUGUCAUUAUGCUUUCUUUUGGCAAAAACAUAUUUGACUCUUGUUUAAUUAUAUCAUAUGACUCGAUGAUCUGUCGAUCUGAUGCUGACCCACUAAAAGAAUCACUGAUAAAGGACCCCGCCCCUCUAGGGGGUACAACCAAUCAUUGUUUUCAAAGUGUUACGGCGUUUAUAACCAGACCAGGUGAUUGAUUGGGCAUUAACAUCUGAAGGUUUUUGAAUUGAAAUUUCGGUCGCAUCAAGAAUUACUCUUGUAGUUGGAAAUUUCUUUAAAAAGUCUUCAGGCAUGUUCUUGUCAAUAAUAUCUCGGGAUGGCCAAAUGUCAAGAUCUUUAAGCUGGAAGUACAAAAAAUUGAUCCACAUGAUAAUGAUUUUUGAAACUGUUGUUUCACAAAUUUCAUACACGAGACUAAGUUCAUAAUCUUCUUUGGCUUGACGCAGCUUAAUCAAGGUCAAGAACAGCUGAUCGAUGGGAGAAAUAAUAGUCGACUGAUUUUUGAGAUCUAAUGCUGCUGGACCAAGACAGUGGGAAAAGAAUUGGAACUGUUCAAAGUCUGAAAAACCUGUGUAGUAAUUGAUGCCUUUAGGAUUUGUUCUAAAGUUUUCAAUAGAAAAAUAGCCAAGAAGAGUACACUGAACACCUUCAGGAGUAACAUUCUUAUCGCGGGUUAACUCAGUUUCUACAUUAUCUAUUUCAUUAUUUGAAGAUUCAACUGUGAUUUCAUGUUGAACAUUCUGAUGAUCACAAAUGCUUGGUUGAGUCAUGAUCCUUGGAAAAGGUUGUCGCCCCUUCGAAGUUGAAGAUGUAGAAGUAAAGGGAAAACAGAUGGCACAGCAUCCUCUUUAAGUCUUGCCCGUUCCCCUAAAAAAAGAAAGUUCAUGGAACUGUAGCCUAAUGUAAGACAUUCCUGUCUGUACAUGUAUUACCAAAAAUAAUGUCAGACUGUUUUGAGGCUGUAAGGAAAAAACAGUCUGAUCAUUUUAUAUUUAAUUUUUCCCCUAUAUAUUAGGGAACAUCUCAGGCAUAUAUAACAUACUUAAAGCAUUGUCCAAAACUUACCAGGAAGAGUGCAAUAAUAACACAUAGCAUUUCACUCGAAUAAUUUGUGUUUUUACAUUGCCCUUCUGAUUUUGCUAUCACUGCAGUCAGAUGAUAUAUUAUUGAACUGGUAAUUAUUAUUAUCGGACUGUUACCGGUGUACUUUCAGAGAGACAAAAAUAUAGGUAUGACGUCACAUCAAUGUUUUCAAGUGCACUAGAUAAUCAGUGUAUUUAUUCUGCUUCUACAGAAUACCAGUGUUGAAAGUAUAUUGGAUUUAAUGUCCGGAGAUACAUUAUUGGAAGAAAAUAAUAAUUAGGUCAACUUCAAUGCCAGAUGUGAUUUAUGUGUACUUAAAUAAGGAUAUCAACUUUUCUGAUAAAUCAAUAAAAUCAAAAUAAUGUUUCGACAUAGACUUAUCAUUGCAGGAAUCCUCCAAGUGACGUGUCUUUGGCACACCUGAAAAAAUAACAUGCAACCACAAAGCAUCAUGUUCUUAAACAUAAUAUAGUAAAUAACUUAAUACUAAUAAAAAGCUGAAUAAAAAACAUAAAUGAUAAUAAUAAAAUAUAAGCACAUGUACAAUCAAUUUAAUUUAAUAAAAGCUAGGGAAUCAUAGAAGGUUUGGAAUGGGAGAGGGCGGGACAAACGCAAUCUUUACAUAUAGGCCUAACUUGAAAUUAGAGCAAGAUUAAUAUUUAGAGCGAGAUUAAUAUAAGCCUUUUGGCUUGUUUCUCAAUCUAUUUCAUGUAUAAGACAUUGUUUGUAAACAUUAUCGAAUUAUUUACGAAAAAAUAUUGUUUAAACUAACUUGAAAUUAUUUCUAAAAUGUACAAGUACUUAGUAAAUUGAUACACUUAAAUAAAAAAAAAAAAAUCCAAUAUCCCUCAAUAAAAAAAAAAAAUAUAGGAGGCCUAGGGGCCUACAUAUCAAUGCUUAUAGUUUCAUUAUCUAUUUAAAUUUGUUUAAAAAGCACUAAAUGAUUUCUCUGAGGAAUUUCGGAUUAAAUAUGUAUAUGCAUUGAAGACGAAUAAUUCAUUGAAAUGUCAUAAAUAUGGAUGUGACAAAAUCACUGCUUUUACGAAAAACUACCAUGCUUAAUACUAACCUAAUAAUGUGUUUUUAUAGUCGGACGAAAGGAAGUGUGUUUUGCAUAUAACGUCAAUCUCCAGGUUUCGACAGUUGAUUUGUUUUGGGAUCAAUUCGUUUGAUGGCGAUCCUCCACCUUUUUGCAGCGUAUUGAUCUCUGGGGAAUUUGUGUCCUCCAAAUCCCGUGCAUCCUGGCACACAACAAUACUGUGGCAUUGUAAACUCGUAACUGGACGAUACUAUAAUAACACUGACUGAGCUAAUGUCUACACGACACUACUACACGCGCGCCACCUAGCGACAAAAAUUCUCGCGGUGGAAACUAUUUAGCGAGGUAACCCUUCUGCGUAGUAGGGAAAAGCCAUGCCUGACAUAGAAUUUAGCGAGGUAACCCUCGUCACUACAUGAAAACACAAAGAAAUGAACUAACUCCCAUACCCCAACAUUACAGUAGGCUAACAUACAAUGAAACACAACUUGUCAACAAUAAAAUAAAACAACAAAAAACAAAAAUAAAUACUGAGAACAUUCCAUUAAUACGAUUAUAUUCAAAGCUAAUUGAUUAAGUGUAAAACAUAACCAAAAAAAGUUUUUUUCCUUGAAAUGAAGACUUACUACUCUGAGUUAGUGCAUCACUCUGCAAGAACAAUUGAAAAUUAAUGUACUUAUUAACGAACUAACAGGCACUACGGCUGAAAUCAAAAUGUAAUUGCUUUAUGGGUAAUAUAAUUAUUAUGGAAUAAUUUAAUACCUUGUUGUAUGUUUCAGUGGGAAAAAAAUUGAGCUGAUAUAAGAUUUUUCAUCUAUACUUUAUGUGUCUGCACUCGAUACCAGUAUGCUUUAUCAUAAAGUGUCAGCUUCAUCUAACAUUAUUCACAAUUUGUUGCACAGUAUAGUACUAUAUAGAUAUGAAAUUGACCAUUGUAUAUAUAUUUUUAAAAAAAACUAAUAUAAAAAAAAUUCAGUACAAUCUGGGUUGUUUGGGAAAAUAUUUUGGAUUAUAAUGUCUUUCCACUCUUUACAUGAUUAUUGUCAACCCUGAGAUCACAUCAUACUAUGUGUGUGAAUGUUUAUGAAUGUUAUUAAUUAUCAGAUACUAAAAUCUGCAAAUAAAAAACAAACAAUAUAUAAAAUAUAGUCUGUAUUUCUGUUUACACUCGAGUUGUGUAUUUUCUUAUAAUAUUUUGUACUUGCUAACAAAUGGACAGUCAUGUUUAAUAUAAUAUGCUAUGUAAGUAGUGGGUGUAAAUUGAGAAUUUGAAGAGUAAGAUAUGUGCUCUAACUGUUCUUUACAAUCCGAAUCCUUUACAUUUGCCCUGCCAUCAAGAUUAUUUACCUUUUUAUCUGAGGAUAAUGCAAUGGAACAACAGUGUUACUAGGUGAAAGCAGUCAAUCAUAAAAUCCAAAUGAUUCAAUAAAAGUAUGAGCUCUGAAAUCUGAUUCAAGAAUAUGCUCAAGUUACAUUUCAUAUUAUAACAAACCUACCAAUAACAAUAUUAUUCCAUUUUGCAUUUGAGUCGCAUUCAGUCAGUGACAUAUCUCAAAGCAAAUCCUUAAAAGAAAGGUAAAUGAUUCAUCUCCCCACUGCCAGAAAAAAAAAAUUAAAAAUGAAACUUCCAUAGAAAUUCAAUUUUCCCAGUUUCCAAAAUGAAACUCAUAUAGUAAUGCAUUGAUUGACACAACUUAUAUGGAAUUCUGCCCCCUCUUGUACAAAGCAAAAUGGCUUAAUAUAUUUUCACUAGCCUACGUGGGUAAAAUUUUUGUUACAGGUGAUAUGAUCCCUUGUGUUCAAUUCCCCUACAGAAAUAAUUAAAGAAAGCCUGCCCUCUCUCCCCCAUAUAGUGCUAGCUGUUAGACAUAUUUUGAUUGCACUAAGGUUUUUCUUGAAAUUCGGUCAUUUGAAGCAGAUACAAAUGCAAAUAUCUAUUGGCACAAACACAGAGACCCAACAUAUCAAGAAUGUACAUCAGCUUACUCAGUAAUAUUAAUCACUGUAAAAAAUAAUUAACAAGUAUGAUUUAAUAUAUAUAAAAUGCAUUAACAUACACUUAUGUUCUAAAUAUAUUUUUGCAUAUCAUUUCUAGUUAAAAUGCAUUUGUUGAUGAAUGAGUAUGUUAUCUUUUCUUUCCAGUAAUUUAAUUGGGGAUUUACUAUUAAAACAAAUCUUGACUUUUUGAAUAUUAGACAGAACUGAUAUCUGAGAAAAAUUUAACAAGUUUCUUUAAAAAAAAUUUCUAUGGUGGUUGUAUUUUUUACAGUUGAAUAGAAAAUGAAAUUAAUCUUUAAUUGCUCCAGUGUUACAUAUAUUACAAAAGCAUUCAUGUGUUGGUAUAGACAUGUAUGGCAAGGUUAUGUGCGCUUAAUCUCAUUCUGCUAAUAACUGACCUCUCUGCUUUUUAAUGAGUUCUAGCAUUAUGCACAGCGUUUAGAGUUAUCAAAAAUAACAUGAUGAAAUUUUAAUUUUGGUGAAAUAUUUCAAAUAUUUGCAGAUUCUUCUAGUAAACAUUGAUCUGUUAUCCUUUGUUUUAUAAAUACUUCCCAGAAAUGGUUUUAUUGAACUUUCUUUUUAAAUUAUAAAUGGAAAUCCUAAAUUGUUAAUAAUAGAGAAAACUUUUAUUUUGUCCAAGAGUUUGUGUGAACUAAUACAUAUGAUUGCUAGUCUGAGAGUGAUUACAAAAAAAAAAAAAAUACAAAAAAAACAAAAACAAAAAAAAAACAACAACAACAAAAAACCCACUAAGGCUGAAAAGUACCUCGUUAGUAUCACUCCUUUAGGAAUGACAAAUUUUGUGUCCAAAGGAUGGGAAUGGAACUACAAAACUGGAAGUUGGGAAACAGGGUUUGACAUUUACUUUCUUGAGCACUAGACCAGUCGGGCUACUUCAAAUGAUUUUUACUAGACCUGACCUUACAUCCACUAGCCCUGACCAACUUUCCAGAGAAAAGAAACCCUGAUGGUUUCUCCAUAUUUAAGUACUUAAUUCAAAUGACAAAUGUUAAGUUUAAACUAAAACGUACUUAAUUGUCUCAAAAACAUCUUUAGUCUCGUCAUUCAAUUUGAUGCUUUUAUUUUAAAACGCAUUUUCUGUUUCUUUAAAUUCUACUCGGCACAGAAAUUCUUUAGUCUUUUGUUAGAAUAAAAUGACUUCAACGCUUUUUAAAAAUUUCUUUUUCAUAAGCCCUGCUUUGUUUCUUCCCAAUCUACUCCUUUUUUUCCUCCUCAGAACAUCCUUCCUUGAGGACGAGAAGUCGUGACAUUCCCGCGCAUGAGUCAACAACAAAAAAUGGCUAUUUACGAUUUAACUUAUUCAUUAGAUAGACACUUUCUUAUAUUCAAUUAAAAUAAACUGUUUUGUUUUUCUUUUAAAUGAAAAUAAAUUCAGUUUAUAUCUAUUUAUCCGAAACAUACCUUUACACCCAUUAACAAAGAGUAAAUGUCGUAAAACAUCACUUUGGACAGCGACUUAUAUAUUAGAACUAAAAAUAGAGAUUUUGUCAUCACGCGGUGCAAAAUUGCUCGCAAACUCUUUACAAUUAUUUUUUUAAAGUUAAAAAUAAGAUAUCUUAUGGUUUAAAAUAAAGUCCCCCCCCCCCCCCCCCGUUUCCAUAUUACAAACGCCCAUAAAAGAGCAAAAUAUAUGUAUGUAGACGUUAUAUGUUCAUUAUCUAAAUGAAAAAGAACCCACUCUCUUAUUGGCACAAUUUCGUUAGCUUCCGGGGGCUUCGCCCCCUGUACCCCCAUCAGUGCAAAGCUUCAAGGCAACCCCAGCCUUCUACUGCGCCCCCCUCCCCCCGUUAUGAAAUUCCUGGAUCCGCCACUGAUCGACAUUUUACCCGACCGGACCUAUCAUUUAGUAGACUCGGUCUGUCGGACGUGCCUAAUUAGUGUCAAACCCUGGGAAAGUUUUUUAUUUAUUUAUUUGGUUUGUUUUGGUGGGGUAUAAGGAUUUGUAGGUCAUAUUUCAAUUUGAUUUGAGCUUGUCAAGAAAUUUAAACAAUUGUAAAGUAAUCUUUCUUUCCGGUUCAUCUCUCAUUUUGAAAAACGAAGUGCAUAAACUUUCUAAAUUCGAAGAAAAAAUCCGAUAUUCACCAAAUGGGCUCGGACAUCGAUGUCCACAGAUUAAAUACGAAAAAAUGUUAUCAGUACAAAAGUGUUGUAAAUAGAUGUUAAAAGUAUACAAAGGGAACACUACACAAAUAGAGCCUCGAAAAGUACAUCAUUCUAAAGAUAUGGAGUGGAAAGCGAGAUCGUACAGCACAUAGAACUUUCCUUGAACUAAUCAUGCUCCUACCGGAUGUACUUAAUAUGCGUGUUUUAGGGCAUGCGCCAUACGUAAAUAGGUAAGAAAAUAUCAACAUCCGGUGUAUUUUUAGAAGCGGAAGCACGUGUAUGUAAAUUUUCAGUAAACGAUGUCUUGGCGAUUUCUACCUUUCCUGAGUCUAGUAAGGCUACGUACACGGCGCAAGGUAGAGUUGGAAAUGAAGAAUUUUAAUGAUCCACCUCAAGAAAAUUCAUAUAUUAAAUCAAAAAUAGAAGAAUUAUCAGACGGUGAAGUAAUCUAGUUACAUGCUCAUUGGGGGCGCUAGGUGCCAAACGAAUCAAAGAACCCAGACAGCACGUGUAUGUAGGCCCAACGUUGGCAGAUGGUUGUACUGUUGGUUCACUGUUGCUGUUGGCGUUGCAUAGUUGGGCCAACGUUGGGCCAAAGGAGAAAAGUAUAACUUUGUACCUCACAUCCGUUAUGAACUAAAGAUAGUGUUGGCCCAACGUUGGGUCAAUGUAUGAAUAUAUAUCUUUGUGAAAGCUUAAAAACAUGUUGGUUUUAUUUUGUUGGCCCAACGUUGGGUGUGUGUAAAUAUAUCCAACCGGUUUACAUUGAUAAUAAUGGUCGUUUAAGCAACGUUGGUCCAACGUUAAACCUUAGUUCAAAUGCAUACUUGUUUUUUUUAACCAUACAUCUGAUUGUUGGUGAAGCAUUUUUGGUCCAACGCUGGGACGACGUGAAAAUACAAUAUUAGUUUUACAUUUAGUUUUAUUUGAUUUUUGGUGGAUAUUGCUGUUAUAUAGGAAAAUAUCACACAUAUCAAUUUAAGAUUAUAUGGUAUGUAUUGCAGUUAUGUUUAUAUUAGUUUAGAUUGUUAGAUUUUAUAUUUAGGUUAUAUUUGGAAAACAAUGGAAAGAUGAGUAAAAGAUCAUUUGUUGGCCCAACGGUGGGACAUUGUUAUCGUGUAGAAAUACAUGUAAAAGUAAUGUUGUCAGAAAUUGUUGCCCUAUACUGAUCUUAACUCGCCGGAUGAUAUAGUGUAAACUAUCACAAUGGUAAGUGCACGAGCUGAAUUAAAUAUCUUGUCAGCUGACAGUGGGCCAACAUUGGGACAGCAUUCACAUUUUGUUAAAAUUCAUACAGGGGAACAUUGUUGAUCCAACGUCGGUGAACUAAACGUCACGUUCCAAUGCAGGCCAAAAAAGAUAUGCGGGCGUAGUUGGCUUUGUACUUAGUACUUACAGGUAGAAGACAAUAUCCAUGAUAUCAUGACAGCAGAUACUCCUGGUCUUAAAGUUGGGUACGUAAUUGUCCUGAUAUAAGGUCCACGGUUGGGCCAACAGUGGGCCUUUGUUAACGCUGAGAAAAACUGAGCAGAAAAAAGCAGCAGUAUUCCAAUUGCAAUGCAUUUUUGGCCAAACUUGGGGAUUUGUACUUAUGAAAUUUAAGGACAUGUAUUUCUGGUAUAUCAUAUUUUCUAAUACAGAGAGAGAGAGAGAGAGAGAGAGAGAGAGAGAGAGAGAGAGAGAGAGAGAGAGAGAUACGUACGCGUAUAAGUAAGCAUGAUAUAAAUUAUGGUAGAGCCAAACUUAAAUAGGCAUUGGCUUUGCUAAUUAUUUUAUUUCAAAUAAAUUUGUUAAUUCACAUCGAAAAAUAACUUUGAGUACCGGUCAAAUUUGUUAUACAUAAGCACACAUCUAAAAUUUUGCUUUGUGUUGCCGAUAACUUGACCUUUCAACAGCAAGCGAAUUGGGGCAACGGGUUAUGCAAGAUUCUGAAGAAUUCGUGUUACUUGAUACAUCUGGGACAAUUGGGAUGGUCAAACCAAGAAGAGGGUUAAGUUAAGCGCACGUGCAUUUCGAUCGAUCAGUGACUAUAUUUUUCAACUGGAUAUUGUGUAUACAUGAAAUGCAAGUAUAUAAACUAUGAAAAGAAUAUUUGUAUUCCUAGUAACGUUAACAAUCUUUAUUCAAGGCAACGGAUAGUUGUUACUUUUUUUUUAAUUUUUGAAUGAAUUCAGCAUGCUCGAACUUCGCCGGCGGUGCGGCCACCGGCCCGGGCGGGAAAUUUUUUAGUUUGUUCUUGGAAAUACAUAAAGACAUAUAGUCUUUUCAUAAAUAACUAUGCAUGUUUUUUGAAAAUUUUAAUCGAUAUGUGAUUGUCAGGUUAUAAGUAUAUAUGUAUAGGUGAAAUGAGAUACUUCUGCGUGCAUCAUUAAAUAGAUACAUGUAUAUAAUUAUUAUUCUUUCAAAAUUCAUGUAUUUUCCUCUUUUGGUCCUGAUCAGAGAAAAUUUCAAGGUUAGUUUGAUGGUUUAAAUUUAUAAUAUUAAUAUAUCUGCAGUAAUAGCGCCAAGACGUUGAUUUAAAAUUUGUUGCUUAAUUAAUAAGGUCAGCAUCACACUAUCAAGGGACGAUAACUCGAGGUAAAAUGAUAAGUAAAAUUGUAUUAUUUUGUGCACUGUAUAAAACUCAAAAAAAAAUCCAUUGAAUAUAUUUCAUUUUGCAGCAUUUGAGGUGAAAUUGCUGACAACUUUGGAGAAAGUCAGAACCCAGGUUGUGCAAAAUACCAAACUUCUCCAGAUGUUACUGGAGAAAGUUGAGGCCCCAGAAGAAUCUGUAUUGGAACAGAUCCCAAUGGCAGUUCAUUUUCCUAUAGUGAAGAGAGAAGAUUUAGACAAGUUGGAAGAUCAGCUCGACAGUUCAGAUGUUUUAAACAGACUUGUUAAAGAACUAGGAAGUAUUUGUGGAGAAAACGUCAAGACAACGGUUAGAAGGAUACUGUCCCACAUGAUAGGAAAGGAAUUGGCAACCCAAAUCAACUGGGUGGGAAAAGGGGACAAAGUCCCAUUUAAAAGCCUAAAAUUGCGGAAUGCUUUGAUCUGUUCUGUGAGGAAGAACAGAUUUACCUCGACCGCAACUGAUGCUGAGAUUGAGCAGAUUGCAAAAGACUGGUUCAGAUUUGCCAAAGAUAGACAUGGUGGCCGCAAGGAGAGGGAAAGAAAGAAGAUUGCCGAAAAGGAAAAGACAAACGAAGCCAAUGAAACCAAUGAAAGUGUAUAAUUUUUGGACUGGGAUUCUGUUAAAUUCUUAAAAUUAAGAUCUUAGGAUCUAGCUUUGGACCAAAAACCUUUAAUUUUUAUAUACACUGUAUAUUAAGGAAAUUAACAGUCAGUGAAGUUUUUUUUCCCCUUAAGGUAUUUUAGGUCAUCAAGUAUAUGUAAAUCAGAUCUUGAUGUAAGAUAUGUUGACUAAUGUUCAGGAUUUGUUGCUGUCAUGUCAAUGUAACUUGUUCUGGAAUGUGUAUUGUAGGAAUAAAAUAUUUAUUUUUAUAUAGGUUUAAUGUAUUUGAUCAAAGUUGAGUAUCUUUCGCUUACUAUGUGGAACCAAUAUUCACAAUUUUGGUUGGCAUAUUGUUGGUCCAACAUGCCAAUAUUUAUUGACAAUGUUAGAUCACUUCGCUUUGCAAUGUAGAAACAAUGUUUAGUUUCAUUGUUUGGCCAAUUUAGGAAAUUCUAGAUGGAGCAUUGUAAGUCAUAUUUAUAACCAACGUAGGUCCAACAAGUUAUGCCUUCAUGAAACAGCUUUACAUUUAGUAGUUAUGCCUUCAUGAAACAGCUUUACAUUUAGUAGUUAUGCCUUCAUGAAACAGCUUUACAUUUAGUAGUUAUGCCUUCAUGAAAGAGCUUUACAUUUAGUAGUUAUGCCUACAUGAAACAGCUUUACAUUUAGUAGUUAUGCCUACAUGAAACAGCUUUACAUUUAGUAGUUAUGCCUUCAUAAAACAGCUUUACAUUUAGUAGUUAUGCCUACAUGAAACAGCUUUACAUUUAGUAGUUAUGCCUACAUGAAACAGCUUUACAUUUAGUAGUUAUGCCUACAUGAAACAGCUUUACAUUUAGUAGUUAUGCCUACAUGAAACAGCUUUACAUUUAGUAGUUAUGCCUUCAUGAAACAGCUUUACAUUUAGUAGUUAUGCCUUCAUGAAACAGCUUUACAUUUAGUAGUUAUGCCUACAUGAAACAGCUUUACAUUUAGUAGUUAUGCCUACAUGAAACAGCUUUACAUUUAGUAGUUAUGCCUUCAUGAAACAGCUUUACAUUUAGUACGUUAUGCCUUCAUGAAACAGCUUUACAUUUAGUACGUUGGGCCAAUUCUUGCAUAUAAAUGUUGGGCCAACACAGUAUGUUUGUGAUGGGAUAAUGUAGGCCCAACAUCAAAUUUCAAUGUAGGGCCAACAUGUAGGGCCAACGUUAGACCAAUUUGCACUUAGAAUGUUGAACCAACGAUGGCAUACAACGUAGGGCCAACAAAAUCAGCUUUGUUGUACCAACAUUGGGCCAACAUACUGAUGAUGUCUGGGAAUCAUCUUGACCUUGCAGCAAAUUUUAAUUUCCUUGUUACGGAAUCUGAUGUCUCAAUACAGGCCAUUGGCAAAAUAAUCUCUUGAGUAUCAGAAUUUCCUCCUCUUCAGUCAAGAGCUUGUAGUCUUUGUACAAAAUAUUGUAUGGAGAGGGCUGGAUAAAAACACCCUUAGCUUAGCACAUCAGAUGAUUUUUAAAUUUUUGAUAUAAAUGAAAGCAAGUGGACAAUAAACAUUGUUGACUGUGGUGUAGGGGCAAUAAGUAAAACAGUUCAGACAGGCACUGCCCCAUCUGUCAGAACAAGUCAUUCUUGAAUCUUGACGAAGAUAACUGACGAUUUUCUUUUAUUGUAUGGGGGUUUGUAUAGAAAUGGGAACUAAAAUCAAGUGUAUUCCUUAAAUUUGAAAACUUUAGAGAUAAGAAUGCACAUAUGAAUCAAAUUCUCUUUGAAAUAUCAUUUCAAAAGCCGAGAAUUUUUUUUAAAAUCUAACGAAAAAUUACGUUUAAUAAUGAAAACAAUCAACCGGAAGUAGUAUUUUUCUCAAAAUUUGCUGUAAGGAAAUAUGAUUUACCCAGAAAAUGAGGAAAAAACUCUGAAUCGGACUUACUGCAACUUAAUCGUCAGAGGAUAUUCAAGCUACUUACAAAAAUCGAAUU